rnacentral:rRNA from 1 species
ACGAACGCUGGCGGCGUGCCUAAUACAUGCAAGUCGAGCGGAAUGAUGAAGAAGCUUGCUUCUUCUGAUUUUAGCGGCGGACGGGUGAGUAACGACGUGGGCAACCUACCUUGUAGAUUGGGAUAACUCCGGGAAACCGGGGCUAAUACCGAAUAAUCCAUUUUGCUUCAUGGCGAGAUGUUGAAAGACGGUUUCGGCUGUCACUACAAGAUGGGCCCGCGGCGCAUUAGCUAGUUGGUAGGGUAAUGGCCUACCAAGGCGACGAUGCGUAGCCGACCUGAGAGGGUGAUCGGCCACACUGGGACUGAGACACGGCCCAGACUCCUACGGGAGGCAGCAGUAGGGAAUCUUCCACAAUGGACGAAAGUCUGAUGGAGCAACGCCGCGUGAGUGAAGAAGGUUUUCGGAUCGUAAAACUCUGUUGUAAGGGAAGAACACGUACGAGAGUAACUGCUCGUACCUUGACGGUACCUUAUUAGAAAGCCACGGCUAACUACGUG